ACUGCAGUGAAGAUUCAUGGAGCUAAAUUUUUGCACAUAUUCGUGAUCAUCUUCUAAUAAGUAGAAAAGCAGUGGAAAUUAUUGAGUCGAAGGUUACACUUAUAUUACAGGAUUCAGCAUGCAUUACCAAAUGACUCCCAGAAAGAGCGUACCAUGUCACAGUCUCAGCAACAAUCACAAGAACUCUACAUCCUUGUCCCCUCAUCAGUACUGGACAUUGAAUUUGACACAUGUGGUAAUGCAAGUCUAUCCAGAUUUCAGGGCUACCUUUGCACCCAUACCAGAAGUAUCACCUAUCCCUGUGGCUUCAAGGUCAUCUCUUCUCAUGACCCUGCAUCUGGUGGACUAAGAGGGAUACCAGCUGCCCUUUCUUUGCUGAGCGCAGAGCCCUGAGUAGCACACCAAGAUGUGCAGGGGCCUGGAAGCUGAGGACCCCAGAGGAAUCUAAGUUUCUGAGUCAUUGAAGACAGUGCAGGUAUUUCAGUGAAAAGGUCUAAGCCUUUCCAGAAUGAAUAAAGAGUAUAUUGAAGGUGAUAGUUUUUUAAAAUACCAUAUUUGGAGAACUUGAAUAUUUUUGGCCAAAAGAAUGUCAUAUUGUGACCAAGGGAACUGAAUAAAAGAGUUCAGUUAUGGUA